UAUAUUGCACAAUGGGGGAAACCCUGAUGCAGCAACGCCGCGUGAGCGAUGAAGGCCUUCGGGUCGUAAAGCUCUGCCCUAAGGGAAGAUAAUGACGGUUCCUUAGGAGGAAGCCCCGGCACACUAGGGCCCAGCAGCCGCGGUAAUGCGUAGGGGGCAAGCGUUAUCCGGAAUCAUUGGGCGUAAAGGGUGCGUAGGCUGCCCUAUAGGUAAGAGGUCAAAGGCUACGGCUCAACCGUAGUAAGCCUUUGAAACUGUAGGGCUUGAGUGCAGGAGAGGAGAGUGGAAUUCCUAGUGUAGCGGUGAAAUGCGUAGAUAUUAGGAGGAACACCAGUGGCGAAGGCGACUCUCUGGACUGCAACUGACGCUGAGGCACGAAAGCGUGGGUAGCGAACA
rnacentral:rRNA from 1 species